UAACGAAUAUUCCGCAAUGCGCGAAAGCGUGACGGAGCAAUGCCGCGUGUGGGAUGAAGCCCCUCGGGGUGUAAACCACUGUCAGGGUUUAGGAAUCUUGACCAGACCCAGAGGAAGGACCGGCUAACUCUGUGCCAGCAGCCGCGGUAAUACAGAGGGUCCAAGCGUUAAUCGGAAUCACUGGGCUUAAAGGGUGCGCAGGCGGGCUUGUAGGUAUCUUGUGAAAUCCCACGGCUCAACCGUGGAAUUGCUCGGUAAACCACAAGCCUUGAGCGCGACAGGGGCCGUCGGAACGAUUGGUGGAGCGGUGAAAUGCGUAGAUAUCAAUCGGAACGCCAAAGGGGAAGCCAGACGGCUGGGUCGCCGCUGACGCUCAGGCACGAAAGCAUGGGUAGCGAACGGGAUUAGAUACCCCCGUAGUCC
rnacentral:rRNA from 1 species